UACGAAGGGGGCUAGCGUUGCUCGGAAUUACUGGGCGUAAAGCGCACGUAGGCGGAUCAUUAAGUCGGGGGUGAAAUCCUGGAGCUCAACUCCAGAACUGCCUUUGAUACUGAAGAUCUUGAGUUCGGGAGAGGUGAGUGGAACUGCGAGUGUAGAGGUGAAAUUCGUAGAUAUUCGCAAGAACACCAGUGGCGAAGGCGGCUCACUGGCCCGAUACUGACGCUGAGGCACGAAAGCGUGGGGAGCAAACAGG
rnacentral:rRNA from 1 species